CUACUGAAUACAAGGUAUCAAAGAAGCUCCCUGCUAUAAUCCACUGAUUGCGGAAGGACCACUGGUCCUCAACAAAAGUAGAUGUGAUGUGCUAUGGCAAUUGGCCUGGAUUGCCUGUUAUAAUGAGAGGCUGAUGUAUUUCAAAGUGAAUGACACACAGUGAUAGUUUGCAAAAGGAACUCAGAGAUUAUUAUGAAAAUGUUUUCUAUUGCCUUUCUCUGAAAGAGGCUUGUUGUUUGGCUGCUUCUGGAUGCAACAAAAUAACAAGAAAAAACCUCUCUCUCUAGACCUUUCACUUGUGCCCUAUUGCAAUUAUUACAUUUCUGAGUACAUUGUGUCCUUCCAACUCAUUUUUUUUUUCUUGCAGAGGAAAUUGCAGACUACCAAUGGCUGCUGCUUUCAGCAUCUCCCAUCCAACUGAUGGCUCACCUUCACUUGCCACCAGAUGCUGUCCUGGGGUUGUGGUUCUGGCCCACUAAGUGGCCCCCUGUGUGACGCCAGGUGCUUGCUGCCUACAGAUCACCAUUCCUGGCUCUCUGUCCAGCACUGUUCUCCUUCUAGCACCCAGCCUGCUUACAGAGUUCACUUUGCCAUGAGAUGGGACAGUUAGUGUCCUUUCUGCAUACACUUUGGAACUCUGUUGUCAGCUUACUGAGGGACAGACCCAAGCUCCUGACCAGCACAGCUGCUUUACUGCAGGGAAUAGCCACAGUUGGGGCACUUCUGCAGUCCGUUCCAGGAACUGUCCAUCUUUGCUACAGAUGCAUGCUGGUCAAGCUUCAGUGUGUCAUGCUGCUCUUUAGAACGACUUCCAGAGCAGAACUGAUGUUCGGAGGACUACAGUCACGGUCUGCUGCUGCUGCAGUAGGUCUGCUCUUGCUAAACUGAAGAAGACUGUAUCUGCUGGGUCAUCAAAGAUGGAUGUUACAGUGCUGCCUACACAUGCUAACUCCACCUGACAAGGAGUGAAAAAGAGAGCUUCAGUGAGCUACUACAGCUUUGAUCCUCUACAGAAGAAAGGAGAUGGUCUGAGGUUGUGUAGUGAUGUACCUAUUGGGAGUGAGAAAUGGCAUCUGCUUUCCUUUCCAUCUAUUUCCUUAUGGAUAUCAAAUAAUCUAUUUCUGCUGCCUACACUUGAAUAGUCUCUCCAUGAGUUGUCAUCCCUAACAGCACUUUAUACCUCAAAUCUCCUGAGGAGAGAAAUUUUGUGAGAAGCUUUCAGAGAGUAAAUGGUUUCCAUCAGCCCCUGAACCCCUUCCUCCCAUACAGAAGGAUGCUGGGACAAAUAGAUAGUCUGAAGGUGAUAUGGUGACUGUGUGACUAGAGUAGGUCCCUGCUCUCUUGCUUUCCCUACUCUUCUCAGAAAGGGAUCUGGGCUAUCUCUGUUCCCCUACCUGGGUGACUACUGUUGGUUGUAUGUCAGUACUAGCUCCUGAGCAGUGUGCUGCUGUUUGAGAAGGCAGAAUCAGGUCACCACCCCCAGGUGAACUGCCUCUUCCUACCAUGGAGAUGCAAGGAAGAAAGACAAGGAGACGUGAGUUUCAGAACCAUUCUUGUAUAUACUGGUGUGUGUAGCUGGUGAUAAAAGGCUGUUCAUAAGGGUUUUGAAGUCUGGGCAUUUUUUUUUCUCUGUAUAGGUUGCUGGCUCUUAUCUUAUAACUGCCUUCCUGUUGUCUUUUUCCCCUUGACAUCUCCCCCCUUCCUUUUAUCUUAAUGGAUAUCCACAAUGGGAAGUCAGAGGAGGGUUUAACCUGGGGAAAAAUGUGUAUUUUUCUUGUCUGUGCAGUUAAGGAAUAUCACAGAAUGUCUUGGGUUGGAAGCGACCUCAAGGAUCAUCAGUCUCUAAACUCCCUACCACCAGCAGGGCCACCAACCUCCAUACCUAAUACUAGACUAGGCUGCCCAGAGCCCCAUCUAACCCAGCCUUGAACACCUUCAGGGAUGGGACAUCUACAACCUCUCUGGGCAGCACCUCACCACACUCUUGGUAAAGAACAACAGUCCUGCUACCCUAAAACUUCAUUCCCAUAUCUUGUUGUAGCUUUAAAAUACUACUCACUGUUUUAGAAAUAAAAAUGAAUUUUAAAGCCA
rnacentral:lncRNA from 1 species